GGCGCGAUUCCACCAUCCCGGCCACCAAACUGCCCUAAUUUCAAUUUGUAAUCUACGCCAUCAAACUCCCCCCUUCUUUCUCUCCCUCUCUCUCUCCCUCCAUCUUUUUCUCACUCUCUUGGGAUCUCUGUUCCGGUGUGUUGCCGCCGCCUCUGCCGUUGCCUUGCCGCCGCCUCGUCUGUGAAAGCCCACCGUGUGCAGACUGUCGAGGUACUCAUUGCUUUGAAGAAAGGAACACAACUAAUCAAGUAUAGCUGGAAAAGGAAGCGCAAGUUUUGCACAUUUAGACUUUCUCGAGUAAGAAAUUAUCCUUUCCCUCACCUUUACCACGACAAAGUUUUUCUGUAUUCAUUCAACUUUGUUGUCGCAUGUUAACGCAAACUUAUAUGAUGCAACUUAUCUCUUCCUUCCGAUUU